rnacentral:misc_RNA from 1 species
UUUACGCCGUCCACACGCUCUUUUCGACUCUCCUAGCUCUUUCUCCCCCCCUCCCGACCACCCCGUACCCCCGCGCGCACCCCAACAUGUCUCUAAAGGACGUGAGCAAGAAGGCCGCCGAGCUGGAGUCGAAGCUGGGCGGCAAGCUGUUCCUGGGCGGCGCGAAGCCGACGGCGGAGGACGUGAAGGUGUUCAACGACCUGCUCGGCGCGAACCACGUGAACCUGUACCGAUGGGCGAAGAACAUGGCGACGUACACCGAGGGCGAGCGCAAGGCGUGGGGCGGGCCGGUGCGCGUUGCUGCGCCGGAGCUGCGCAUGCCCGCGCCGGCGGCGGCGAAGGCGGUGAGGUCGGAUGCUGCUGCUGAGAAGAGGGCUGCGCCGAAGGCUGCUGCUGUUGCGCCGCCGUCUGCCGCUGCCGCGGAGGAGGACGACGACGACAUCGACCUGUUCGGCGAGACGACGGAGGAGGAGAAGGCAGCGCUGGAGGCGAAGAAGGCGAAGGACGCGGAGAAGAAGAAGGCGAAGAAGGAUGUGAUUGCGAAGUCGUCGAUCCUGUUCGAUAUCAAGGCGUGGGACGACACGAUCGACCUGGAGGCGCUCGCGCAGAAGCUGCACGCGAUCCAGCGCGACGGCCUGAUCUGGGGUGACCACAAGCUGGUGCCCGUUGCGUUUGGCGUGAAGAAGCUGCAGCAGCUGAUCGUCAUUGAGGACGACAAGGUGUCCGGCGACGACCUGGAGGAGAUGAUCAUGGGCUUCGAGGAGGAGGUGCAGUCGAUGGAUAUCGUCGCCUGGAACAAGAUCUGAGGUAAUUCGGAAAAGGCGCGACGGAUAGGCUGUGACGGACGGAGCGCGAGUGGUACUGCGCGUUCGUCAGCGAGGCCUCGUCUCGGGAGUGGGCGGAGGGUAGCCGCUGUUUCUUGUGCGAUGACAGCGAUUAGUCGGAGAGUUUUUUUCGCGGCGCACAGGGUGGUAGCGGGACACUUGCCGCAUGGUUACCAAUCUGCAAGACGGACGAGCUUGUUUUCGUCUGUCUUCGUUUGGAGGCCGCCGUGCAAGGCAGCGAUUCCUCGUCGUUGAACCCUCCCCCACCCCACCCCCAAGGCAAUCGCAUGACGCACUGAUAAUCUUUGCCGAAUCAUGGUGUGUGAUUGGUUGGGCAAGGGGGCGCGUGUUUCACUCGUGCUUGCCGUGCAUGUUGUCGACCGUCUCUUCGAGCCGCGCUCGCCCCGCAGCAGUCUUCCUUUUGUUUGCUGUUGUAAUUUUUGGUGCUCGCAACGCACUGUUUUCUUGUUUUCCUGCCGGCUUGUUUUCCACGUCCUAUAAGGUAAGCAGAAGACAGGAAAACGGAAACGCACGUAAACAGCGUAGACGUACACGUGUCGUUGGAAUGUGGGCGCGCCGAUGUGUGUGUGUGUGCGGGUCUGUGUGGUGUAUUGGUUUCUCUAGUGGCGAGAGGGAGGGGUAGGGACGUACAGAGUGCAUGCCUACCGUUUGCGGGCAGCUGUCGAUGGUGUUACGCUAUAAGCUGUGAAAGCCUCUGCACCGUCAUCUGGUGCGCAUGUCUUCGGCGUCUCGCUGCCUGCUUCUUCUUGAGCCCUUUCUCUAGCUGCCACGCUUCGACUUACACAUAAGCAACACGGGGCACGCCCACGAUCCACAACGGGUGCUCUGUGAACACCAAGGUAUGAACUCUAUCCGAUAAAAAAGAAAAACAUCGCAGCCACAACAACAGCAGCGCGGCAAACAUACCGAACGAGCAUCAUGGUUGUUUUCUGAGAGAAGAAAAAAAACAUAAAAAGGCAUCAGAGAUGAGCCAGCCUUGAAGCGAAGGAAAGAGACUAAUCUCUCACUCUCUGUGUGCGUGUGAGGGGAGGGGAGAGGAGGAGCUUGAGAGAGAGAGGCGGGACGCAGUCGCCAGUGAGGUGG